UACGUAGGGUGCGAGCGUUGUCCGGAAUUAUUGGGCGUAAAGAGCUCGUAGGCGGUCUGUCGCGUCGGUCGUGAAAACUUGGGGCUUAACCCUGAGCUUGCGGUCGAUACGGGCAUGACUGGAGUUCGGUAGGGGAGACUGGAAUUCCUGGUGUAGCGGUGAAAUGCGCAGAUAUCAGGAGGAACACCGGUGGCGAAGGCGGGUCUCUGGGCCGAUACUGACGCUGAGGCGCGAAAGCUAGGGGAGCAAACAGG
rnacentral:rRNA from 1 species